AUAUUAUCAACAACAUUUCAAAUGUGGUAGUUCCUGCGAAUUUGUUUGCGCCAUUUCAGUUUUUGCCACAAUUAUCACAGUAAUUUUUAAAAUUAAUAAAUCUUAGGAGAAAAACAAAUAACAAAAUUUUAUUGGGGAAAGCUAAAUACACAAACAGUCUUGGGGCAUAAUUGGUUAUUUUUCAAAACGGCAUGGCUGCAACUAUUUUUAUUAAAUAUGUGCAAAAUAUUAGUGUUUUAAAUAACAUUCGUUAUUGUGCAUUAGGUAUAGCAAUAACCUGGGGGUGUGCGUUUAAUAAAUACAAUCAAAACAAAAGUCUUCGGGAGGGUGUUUCAAUUACAGUUAGAAGCUUUAAUGUUUAGGUUAAAUGUUGAUUGUAAUAAUAAGCGCGACAAGCACAAUUUGUUUGCCCCUUUUCUAACGCAUUUGAAAAAAUACCCACGGAAUUAAUGACGUUGAGAUAAAAAUAGUUAAUUACCAUGUCACCAGCAUGGCGAUUACCGGUGAAUUAAUAGCAAAGCAAAAAGCAAAGUCCUAAAAACAAUGACAACAACUAACGCAAUCGGAUUUUGCCAUGCGGAGCCUCGUAAUGCCCAACCGGGCAUGUGAAACGCGUGGCAAGGUAAAUGACAUGCCACCAACACAAACACACGCGAGUUUAAAUAUAAUAUAAAGCAAACACACACACAUACACACCUACAAUGACAGACAGGUCGACCAUAUGUUUUAAUGCAUUGUUCGAGCCAACAACAAGAGCAAAAGUCGCAUUACCGAAAAUGUGCGCAUUCACGCAGUAAAUCAAUAAAGUGCCGUGAAUUACAAAUACCAACUUCAACGCAGCGCCAGCAUCAGCAGUAACAACAACAACACACAUAUCGCACAGCAGGUGAAAUGAGAAACGCCAAACAAACGGAAAGGUUCGGGAAAAAACAGAGUGCAAGGAAACGCACAAAAAAUCGACGACGAAUACAAAUGUUUCACUUGUGUUUGUUGCUGAGAAAAAUGUUGAUGGGCAGCGAAAAUGCGUCAAACAAAAGACUUAAGCAACGAACUUGCUAGGGAAUUCGCAUGCGAAUCAAACAAAGUGUACACCAAAGCGCGCUCUCAAAUGUGUGUGUGUUUGAGUCUUUGUAACGCAUAGAAAGUUACUGCAAGAAAAACAACAACAAAUAAUAAACAAUGAAAAUAAAAAGCGCGCUGGCGUAGAGAAAGACCUUCUUUUCAUUGCAGCCUCUUGUCGCGGUCGCCACUCAUUCAUAAUUUCACAACCGGCCAUGGCUUUGUGUGCACCUAUGUGUGUUAAUGUGCGCGCGCGUUUAUUAGUAGCGACAUUAAAUUACAUCGUUACCAUUCAGUAUUUCUCAAGCACUAAUUGUUUAAUCAAAAACUACCAAGAUUAGAUUAGAAAAAGAAAAAAACAAAAAGGCGCUCCACAGUGUUGCGAUGCCACCUGCCAUGCUAUUCAGACAACGCAGAGAAAAGCAAAUUCAACAGCAACUUAGACUGAGUUUUGAAACGGCAGCAGACUCUCACAGCCAAAAAAGCGGUGGCCAAAGUGGUUUUAUGUGUGCGAGAUAUGUCUGCCAGCGGCUGACUGGUUGUACUAAAGAAAUGAGCGCUAGAUGAUGCCACAACGGCGCUUGGAGGUUGGCGAGUAGUUCAGUUCGCGAGUGACUUUCAUAGUGUAAACGACGGCAGCGGGUUCUUCGGCAGCAAGGCAAGUGCGAUUUUUUUUAUUGUUGUAUUGUGUUAUCCAGUUUCCAGUGUUUGUUUUAUUUUACUUGGUUGCUACUCGACUCGACUUUGUUGCAAGCAACACGCUUACUUGCAGUAUUCGUUAUCACGGCGUUGUUAUUGUUGCAGUGAUUUGAUAUUUACGGUGCGACGAGUGUUUAAAGGCACGGAGUCACACUAAAGUUUACUUGUUUGUCUACAUUUUUUCAACUUCGCCUCGCUUACGGACAAGCGGCUUUCGUGUCAAAGAGAUAUAAAAUAAGAAUAACACACAUAUAUACAUAUGUACUUUUGUGUGUGUUCGUAGAAGUGUAGAAAAUAAAGAUGCAGCGAAAAUAGUACCAAGAGAACUAGAAUUGAAAAAAAUUUACAUAAAACGCAACGGGUGCAAGAAGGAGGAGAAAAACGGGACAGUAGUGGAAAGCAUGAAUAAUUCUUGUGUAAUUAAAGAAGCGCAAGAAAAUCAGGUGGUGUUCAAGUAUAUGGAGUGCAAGUGUUAAAAGCAAACCACAAGAAAGUACAACGAACAGCCACAAACCAACACUGCUGUAAAGCCUUCAGAUUAAGAAAUGCAAACACAGAGUAUAUAAAUGAGUAUUUAUUUAUAAACAGCAAAAGAAAGUCAAAUAGAAAAAAAGAUAAUUUAGAGCGAACAUUCCAAAGCAGUAACCUUCUAGCGUUACAGCAUCGUAGGGGGAAAAGAGACUGUGCUUGUAAGUAUAAGAUAUAACGGACUCUAAGAAGGCACAAACUGCUUGCAAAUAAUGAUAAAUACUCAUACAUACUUACAUGCUUCUAUUAUAAUUUUGUGAAAAAUUGCACUCAAUAUAUGGUAAAGCAAUAAAAGUCGCAUACAAAUGUUUAUAAAAGACUUAAGACACGAACUUGAAAAGCACUAAUUGACAUUAAUAAGUUAUUUGCAAAUGUUUAAGUAGAGAGAAAUUUCAGUUUAACAAAUUUUAAUUUCAAAGAGAAAAAGUUAAAAUAGUUAACAAUAAGAUAUUUGACAAUAUUUCAAAAUUAUCCCUAAAAAGGAAAAACAAAUCUACACAA